rnacentral:sRNA from 1 species
AUGAAAAUGGUCACAAACUCAUUUCUCAGCAUUGCCCUGAGUCCAGACGCCUGCCACGCGCACACCCAUAUCAAUGCCUUUCAGAUGAUCGGAAUGUCCUCGUGUCUAGACCUCUCCGGCUUCUUUGAGAAAGAGUAUGGUCUCUAGAGCCGACAUGAAUGAAGUUUAUGCUGAAUUUGCCAAUUCCAUCGACUCCCAAGAAGCCGUCGAGAAUUCCCAUGUGGAAAGGUGCCCUGGGAGCCUACUUUAUCAACGCAUUUGCUAUUUCCCGGUGGCCCUUCCUUAUGGUGUUUUCAUUGCUUCUUCUCUGCGUAGAUCUCUCCAGCUGGUUGUGCUCAAUAGUCAAACGUUAGCACACAAAAUCCACAUGCUCAAACUUGUUCUGGUUUGAUUUCACGAAUGGUGGUCGUUUGAGUAUCCCCCCAUCGUCUAGGGUUCAGACAUGAGAAGAACGAGAGUCAGAUUCUUGUGUUGGUGCUAGAAUAAGGUGUUCUGUCGUUGAAGUUGUGGAUUUGAUUUGGAGUUUGGUACCUAAAUUCGGUUCCAAGGUUUUCUUUGGUUCAGUGAAAGUUGGCUGGACUACAACAUCCAUCUUUGGUGGGCCGCCGCAAAGGGCAUUAUGUGGUUCAAUGGAAGGGGACUAAAUGGGCCAUUUCUACUUUGGUGGAAGUUGGCUGGGUCGGCAACUUCUUGCUUUGGUCGGACGCUGUUGUGCUGACAGCAUCGAUAGAAAGUUUUAUUUUCGUGACUUCUGACCUAGGUUCGUGAUGCCAACUUAUAAUUCGAGAAUGCUUCAAUUGUAUUCUUCUCAUUAGAAGAAAUUAUACAUACAUACAU